UACGUAGGUGGCAAGCGUUGUCCGGAAUUAUUGGGCGUAAAGCGCGCGCAGGUGGUUUCUUAAGUCUGAUGUGAAAGCCCACGGCUCAACCGUGGAGGGUCAUUGGAAACUGGGGAACCUGAGUGCAGAAGAGGAAAGUGGAAUUCCAAGUGUAGCGGUGAAAUGCGUAGAGAUUUGGAGGAACACCAGUGGCGAAGGCGACUUUCUGGUCUGUAACUGACACUGAGGCGCGAAAGCGUGGGGAGCGAACAGG
rnacentral:rRNA from 1 species